rnacentral:rRNA from 1 species
AAUUCCAUUUUUAUGCGGUAAAAUGAGGUAGAAUAUAUUGAGGGAACCCCACUGGGGAAGGGGGGUUACUUGGUUUGUAAUUAAGGCUCCGGCACGAAAAGCGGGGGGGGGCAAAAUGGAUUUGAUUCCCCUAGUAGUCCCCCCCGCUAACCGAUGGGAUGCUAAGUGUUGGGGGAAAUCAGUGCUGCAGUUAACGCAAUAAGCAUCCCGCCUGUGGAGUAUGCACGCAAGUGUGAAACAUAAAGGAAUUGACGGGGGCCCGCACAAGCGGUGGAGUAUGUGGUUUAAUUUGACGCAACGCGAAGAACCUUACCAGGCCUUGACAUCCCUUGCGAAGCUGUAGAGAUACAGUAGAGGUUAUCAAGGUGACAGGUGGUGCAUGGUUGUCGUCAGCUCGUGUCGUGAGAUGUUGGGUUAAGUCCCGCAACGAGCGCAACCCUUGUCUUUAGUUACUAACAUUAAGUUGAGGACUCUAGAGAGACUGCCGGUGAUAAACCGGAGGAAGGUGGGGAUGACGUCAAAUCAUCAUGCCCCUUAUGUCUAGGGCUACACACGUGCUACAAUGGUCGGUACAAUAAGAUGCAAGCCCGCGAGGGGGAGCAAAACUGGAAAACCGAUCUCAGUUCGGAUUGUAGGCUGAAACUCGCCUACAUGAAGCUGGAGUUGCUAGUAAUCGCGAAUCAGCAUGUCGCGGUGAAUACGUUCCCGGGCCUUGCACACACCGCCCGUCAA